rnacentral:misc_RNA from 1 species
GAUGAAGAACGCAGCAAAAUGCGAUAAGUAGUGUGAAUUGCAGAAUUCAGUGAAUCAUCGAAUCUUUGAACGCACAUUGCGCCCGCCAGCACUCUGGCGGGCAUGCCUGUUCGAGCGUCAUUUCAACCAUCAAGCCCCCAGGGGCUUGUGCUGGGGCCCUGCGGCUGCCCGCAGGCCCUGAAAACCAGUGGCGGGCUCGCUAGUCACACCGAGCGCAGUAGCACAUCUCGCUCAGGGCGUGCGGCGGGCUCCUGCCGUGAAACCCCCCACUGUAACCCCAAAGGUUGACCUCGGAUCAGGUAGGAAUACCCGCUGAACUUAAGCAUAUCAAUAAGCGGAGGA